UAGGGAAUCUUCCACAAUGGACGCAAGUCUGAUGGAGCAACGCCGCGUGAGUGAAGAAGGUCUUCGGAUCGUAAAGCUCUGUUGUUGGUGAAGAAGGAUAGAGGCAGUAACUGGUCUUUAUUUGACGGUAAUCAACCAGAAAGUCACGGCUAACUACGUGCCAGCAGCCGCGGUAAUACGUAGGUGGCAAGCGUUGUCCGGAUUUAUUGGGCGUAAAGCGAGCGCAGGCGGAAUGAUAAGUCUGAUGUGAAAGCCCGACGGCUCAACCGUGGAACUGCAUCGGAAACUGUCAUUCUUGAGUGCAGAAGAGGAGAGUGGAACUCCAUGUGUAGCGGUGGAAUGCGUAGAUAUAUGGAAGAACACCAGUGGCGAAGGCGGCUCUCUGGUCUGCAACUGACGCUGAGGCUCGAAAGCAUGGGUAGCGAACAGGAUUAGAUACCCUGGUAGUCCAUGCCGUAAACGAUGAGCGCUAGGUGUUGGG
rnacentral:rRNA from 1 species